UACAGAGGGGGCAAGCGUUGUUCGGAAUUACUGGGCGUAAAGGGCGCGUAGGCGGCCUUCUAAGUCGAACGUGAAAUCCCUCGGCUCAACCGAGGAACUGCGUCCGAUACUGGCAGGCUGGAAUCCGGGAGAGGGAUGUGGAAUUCCAGGUGUAGCGGUGAAAUGCGUAGAUAUCCGGAGGAACACCGGUGGCGAAGGCGGCUUCCUGGACCGACACUGACGCUGAGGCGCGAAAGCUAGGGGAGCAAACGGG
rnacentral:rRNA from 1 species